CCCUUAGAUGUCCUGGGCUGCACGCGCGCUACACUGAUGUGUCCAGUAAGCACCUAACCUAUUCCGAGAGGAGCGGGUAACCUUAGCAAAGCACAUCGUGAUGGGGAUAGAUUAUUGUAAUUAUUAGUCUUGAACGAGGAAUUCCUAGUAAGCACAAGUCAUCAGCUUGUGUUGAUUACGUCCCUGCCCUUUGUACACACCGCCCGUCGCUCCUACCGAUUGAAUGUUCCGGUGAGCUCUUCGGACUGCGCGGUCUGCAGUUUCUGCGUUCCGUGCGGAAAGUUGUGCAAACCUUAACAUUUAGAGGAAGGAGAAGUCGUAACA
rnacentral:rRNA from 1 species